AUGAACGCUGGCGGCGUGCCUAAUACAUGCAAGUCGAACGAGUUCUCGUUGAAUCUCGGUGCUUGCACCGAGAUUCAACAUGGAACGAGUGGCGGACGGGUGAGUAACACGUGGGUAACCUGCCCUUAAGUGGGGGAUAACAUUUGGAAACAGAUGCUAAUACCGCAUAGAUCCAAGAACCGCAUGGUUCUUGGCUGAAAGAUGGCGUAAGCUAUCGCUUUUGGAUGGACCCGCGGCGUAUUAGCUAGUUGGUGAGGUAAUGGCUCACCAAGGCGAUGAUACGUAGCCGAACUGAGAGGUUGAUCGGCCACAUUGGGACUGAGACACGGCCCAAACUCCUACGGGAGGCAGCAGUAGGGAAUCUUCCACAAUGGACGCAAGUCUGAUGGAGCAACGCCGCGUGAGUGAAGAAGGCUUUCGGGUCGUAAAACUCUGUUGUUGGAGAAGAAUGGUCGGCAGAGUAACUGUUGUCGGCGUGACGGUAUCCAACCAGAAAGCCACGGCUAACUACGUGCCAGCAGCCGCGGUAAUACGUAGGUGGCAAGCGUUAUCCGGAUUUAUUGGGCGUAAAGCGAGCGCAGGCGGUUUUUUAAGUCUGAUGUGAAAGCCCUCGGCUUAACCGAGGAAGCGCAUCGGAAACUGGGAAACUUGAGUGCAGAAGAGGACAGUGGAACUCCAUGUGUAGCGGUGAAAUGCGUAGAUAUAUGGAAGAACACCAGUGGCGAAGGCGGCUGUCUGGUCUGUAACUGACGCUGAGGCUCGAAAGCAUGGGUAGCGAACAGGAUUAGAUACCCUGGUAGUCCAUGCCGUAAACGAUGAAUGCUAGGUGUUGGAGGGUUUCCGCCCUUCAGUGCCGCAGCUAACGCAUUAAGCAUUCCGCCUGGGGAGUACGACCGCAAGGUUGAAACUCAAAGGAAUUGACGGGGGCCCGCACAAGCGGUGGAGCAUGUGGUUUAAUUCGAAGCAACGCGAAGAACCUUACCAGGUCUUGACAUCUUUUGAUCACCUGAGAGAUCAGGUUUCCCCUUCGGGGGCAAAAUGACAGGUGGUGCAUGGUUGUCGUCAGCUCGUGUCGUGAGAUGUUGGGUUAAGUCCCGCAACGAGCGCAACCCUUAUGACUAGUUGCCAGCAUUUAGUUGGGCACUCUAGUAAGACUGCCGGUGACAAACCGGAGGAAGGUGGGGAUGACGUCAAAUCAUCAUGCCCCUUAUGACCUGGGCUACACACGUGCUACAAUGGAUGGUACAACGAGUUGCGAGACCGCGAGGUCAAGCUAAUCUCUUAAAGCCAUUCUCAGUUCGGACUGUAGGCUGCAACUCGCCUACACGAAGUCGGAAUCGCUAGUAAUCGCGGAUCAGCACGCCGCGGUGAAUACGUUCCCGGGCCUUGUACACACCGCCCGUCACACCAUGAGAGUUUGUAACACCCGAAGCCGGUGGCGUAACCCUUUUAGGGAGCGAGCCGUCUAAGGUGGGACAAAUGAUUAGGGUG
rnacentral:rRNA from 1 species